rnacentral:rRNA from 1 species
UUGAUGGAGAGUUUGAUCCUGGCUCAGGACGAACGCUGGCGGCGUGCCUAAUACAUGCAAGUCGAGCGGG